CGUACUCAGUUCGGAUUGUAGUCUGCAACUCGACUACAUGAAGCUGGAAUCGCUAGUAAUCGCGGAUCAGAAUGCCGCGGUGAAUACGUUCCCGGGUCUUGUACGCACCGCCCGUCACACCAUGGGAGUCGGAAAUGCCCGAAGUCUGUGACCGAACCGAAAGGAAGGAGCAGCCGAAGGCAGGUCGGAUGACUGGGGUGAAGUCGUAACAAGGUAGC
rnacentral:rRNA from 1 species